GACCUCCGCCGUUCUCCUCCGCCACCCUCCGCCCCUUUCCCUACCUAUGCCAACCAAACCCGACGUCGACAGAUGCAUCACGACCGCAAGAUCGAGAUCGACUCGCCACUGCCCUCCGAUGUCGAGAUGCCGACCUCCACCUCCUUGGAUCGAUCAAUUCCCCUCACCCGUCCGAUCCCCAACCUCAGCUCCAAUCGUCCGAUCGUGUUCGAGAGUCUUCCCGAGGGUCCAGGAAGUCUCAUUUCCCUCCAACUCUUCUAAUUAAGGUAUGAAGUUUGAUGAAACCCUAAUUUCUCUGGUUUCCUUUGCAGGAUAUCCCUCGUGCGAGUACCCGUGUGAAGGAGCUUCUUCCAGCUA
rnacentral:misc_RNA from 1 species